UCAAUCACGACUUUUAUUGUCGACUGACGCAAAAAUAGUGGAGGAAAAGACCAAUUUCCGCUGAGAUUCACCAAAAAUGACUGCGUUGCAAGAAUUUCAGAAUUUAUCACUCCCCUCUGAAGAAAGAGUGAAGAAUAAGUAUGUGUGUAUUUUGCAUUUGGCAAGCACUUUUAUGAUGAAAAUCAAGUCAUCAAUAAAAUAGUGUUGGUACUGCACCAUUUUACAGAAACAUUUUGCUACCUGAUUUUCUCUUCAUGUUGUCAUCAAAAUGAUCGGAACAAACUCUGCUCCACUACAUGAGUCUUUGGGGUGACCGUGCCUUUAUGUUACCUAUGCAGCAGGUGAAAAUUCAGG